UUAUAUUAAAGUUGUUGCAGUUAAAAAGCUCGUAGUUGGAUUUGUGGGUGGAGCGAACGUCCUGACGCUCAACGUGGGUGAUGCUCGUCUCCGUCCAUCUUUGGGUGGAAUCCGUGUGGCAUUAAGUUGUCGUGCGGGGGAUGCCCAUCUUUUACUGUGAAAAAAUUAGAGUGUUCAAAGCAGGCUUACGCCGUUGAAUAUAUUAGCAUGGAAUAAUGAGAUAGGACCUGGGUACUAUUUUGUUGGUUUGCGCACCGAGGUAAUGAUUAAUAGGGACAGUUGGGGGUAUUCGUAUUCCAUUGUCAGAGGUGAAAUUCUUGGAUUUCUGGAAGACGAACGACUGCGAAAGCAUUUACCGAGGAUGUUUUCAUUAAUCAAGAACGAAAGUAUGGGGAUCGAAUAUGAUUAGAUACCAUCGUAGUCGUCAUAGCUGGUUCCUGGG
rnacentral:rRNA from 1 species